AACUUUUAACGGUGGAUCUCUUGGCUCACGCAUCGAUGAAGAACGCAGCCAGCUGCGAUAAGUAGUGUGAAUUGCAGAAUUCAGUGAAUCAUCGAAUCUUUGAACGCAAAUGGCGCUCUUGGGUUCUCCCAGGAGCAUGUCUGUCUGAGUGUCGGAU
rnacentral:rRNA from 3 species